ensembl:lncRNA
CUGUUAACCCACUUCCACUACUGCUGUGUUCUGAUCUUUUUUUCAAAACACUGAAAGAGUUAAUGUUCCUGUUUGGGCAGUUACUUUCAAAUCGAAAAUGAAAGUGCUUCACUGGCAGGGAAGGACGUCACUCCCUUUUCAGUGUUCGAAGGAUAUACCAGAGACUGUAUACUCGAGGUUUUGUAGACAUGGCACAAACACAUGAGUCAUGGAAAAAAUUCUUUGUGUGGGAAGCAGGAAAAACAAAUGGGGCCCAACUUCCAGUUGUUCAAAUGCUCAAAAGUAUUGGACAAACAGACGUGACCUCUGCAACGGAAUGUGACUACCUUCUAGUCUUCUGUCCUGUUGUUUCACGAGUUGGAACGGACAUCGGCGAGGCCCUGCACAACAUAACUCCUGGCAAACCAGUAAUACUGGUAGUGAUGCAUCACACCUUCAAUCCUCACCAUGUUGUAGCUGAAAGCCGGAGGCAGGUGGACAACCCAAAUGUCCACCUAACUGUGGACUGUCUGUUUCAUGAAGGCCGUCUCCUCAAUUGCAACCUCAAUGAUACCAUGUCGAGUGACAUCAAAAGAUUUUUUGGUUCUGAAUCCCCAGCUCCAGCCUUAAUUCACAACUUGAUGUCUUUGUGGCAACGCAUCCCAAGUUUCUUUUUAGGUUUCUUCAUCUGGAAAAUAUUUGGACUUUGUUGCUCCAGUAUUUGGAAUUUAUUCAUGUGCUUGAAUCCUCUGGUACAUAUGGCUGGAUUGAUUAUUCCUUUGCUGAUGGCAGUUGUGACAUCAUUCAGCUCCAAAAUAUGGAAGAGAAAUAAAAGCGGGAAAUGAGGACUGCAAAACAAAAUCCAAAUGCAAUAAUUUAACAAUAUCACAGUAUGUUUUCUUGAUACUGUAUAUAAAACAAAAUAUAAGUAAUAUAUCCUGCCUUUGUAAUCAUUAAAGAUGUGUUAGUUAUGUGUUAUUGUUAUGAAAGCUGGUAUAGAUGUUUUAGGGAUGAAUCUUUUGAUCAUUGGUACUGUAGCAUGUUAAAGAUGAAAUGUUGCUUUACUCACAUGUCCAAGGCAAGACUGAAAAGUGAGCUUUAAGAAAACAGAACCAUUUCUUUCCCAGUUAUUGCAGACAUGCUUAUAUAUUUUAAAAUAAUAAAUUUAUUGAGAGGAUAUCUUGGUGUCAUUUGUUGCUUUUGUUCAUUCUGAAUUAGUGACAUUAAAAACUGUUUCUGAUUUAGGGUUAGACGUUACAGCUGUAACAAAUUGCAAAAUUGCAUUUUCGCUUAAAAUCUUGAAUUAAAAUGUACACACAAUGAGAAUGUUAAGCGUGGAACACAAUAAAACCAGAGACUGCCCCGCC